UACGGGGGGGGCAAGCGUUGUUCGGAAUUACUGGGCGUAAAGGGCUCGUAGGCGGCCAACUAAGUCGGACGUGAAAUCCCCAGGCUCAACCUGGGAACUGCGUCCGAUACUGGAUGGCUUGAAUCCGGGAGAGGGAUGCAGAAUUCCAGGUGUAGCGGUGAAAUGCGUAGAUAUCUGGAGGAACACCGGUGGCGAAGGCGGCAUCCUGGACCGGUAUUGACGCUGAGGCGCGAAAGCUAGGGUAGCAAACGGG
rnacentral:rRNA from 1 species